GACAGAGGGUGCGAACGUUGUUCGGAAUUACUGGGCGUAAAGCGCAUGUAGGCGGCAGCGCAAGUCGGGCGUGAAAUCCCACGGCUCAACCGUGGAAGUGCACUCGAAACUGCGCAGCUAGAGUCCUGGAGAGGAAGGUGGAAUGCUUGGUGUAGAGGUGAAAUUCGUAGAUAUCAAGCGGAACACCGGUGGCGAAGGCGGCCUUACUGGACAGUGACUGACGCAUGAGAGUGCGAAAAGCGUGGG
rnacentral:rRNA from 1 species